UACGUAGGGGGCAAGCGUUGUCCGGAUUUAUUGGGCGUAAAGAGCGUGUAGGCGGUUUGGUAGGUCCGUUGUGAAAACUCGAGGCUCAACCUCGAGCAGCCGAUGGAAACCAUCAGACUAGAGUCCGGAAGAGGAGAGUGGAAUUCCGUGGUGUAGCGGUGAAAUGCGCAGAUAUCAGGAAGAACACCCGUGGCGAAGGCGGCUCUCUGGGACGGUACUGACGCUGAGACGCGAAAGCGUGGGGAGCGAACAGG
rnacentral:rRNA from 1 species